rnacentral:rRNA from 1 species
GACGAACGCUGGCGGCGUGCUUAACACAUGCAAGUCGAACGGAAAGGCCCUGCUUUUGUGGGGUGCUCGAGUGGCGAACGGGUGAGUAACACGUGAGUAACCUGCCCUUGACUUUGGGAUAACUUCAGGAAACUGGGGCUAAUACCGGAUAGGAGCUCCUGCUGCAUGGUGGGGGUUGGAAAGUUUCGGCGGUUGGGGAUGGACUCGCGGCUUAUCAGCUUGUUGGUGGGGUAGUGGCUUACCAAGGCUUUGACGGGUAGCCGGCCUGAGAGGGUGACCGGGCACAGUGGGACUUAGAUACGGCCCAGACUUCUACGGGGGGCAGCAGUGGGGGGUAGUGCACGAUGGGACGAAGCCUGAUGCAGAUGCCCCGGGUGCGGGAUGACGGCCUUCGGGUUGGAAACCGCUUUCGCCGGUGACGAAGCGUGAGUGACGGGAAUGGGUAAAGAAGCACCAACUAACUGCGUG